UACGGAAGGCAGCAGUGGGGAAUAUUGCACAAUGGGCGCAAGCCUGAUGCAGCCAUGCCGCGUGUAUGAAGAAGGCCUUCGGGUUGUAAAGUACUUUCAGUCGUGAGGAAGGUGUUAAGGUUAAUAACCUUAGCAAUUGACGUUAGCGACAGAAGAAGCACCGGCUAACUCCGUGCCAGCAGCCGCGGUAAUACGGAGGGUGCGAGCGUUAAUCGGAAUUACUGGGCGUAAAGGGCACGCAGGCGGUUAAUUAAGUUGGAUGUGAAAUCCCCGGGCUUAACCUGGGAAUGGCAUUCAAGACUGGUUAGCUAGAGUCUUGUAGAGGGGGUAGAAUUCCAUGUGUAGCGGUGAAAUGCGUAGAGAUGUGGAGGAAAUACCGGUGGCGAAGGCGGCCCCUGGACAAAGACUGACGCUCAUGUGCGAAAGCGUGGGGAGCAAACAGGAUUAGAUACC
rnacentral:rRNA from 1 species